CAACACCAUUGCUAGAUAAAUUUGGAAAAUUUAAAGAUGAAAAAAGUUUCAUACACUAAAAAAAUAGAUAAAACUAACAGAUGAGGAAAUGUUGGAAGUUUCAUUGUCUUUCUACUGACAGAUCAAUAUUUGACAAUUAAUAUUCAAAGACUUGAUGAAUGGAAAAGGGUUCUUGACUUCUGAUCAAACACAUUUCACUAACUCUCUUACAAGUGAAUAUGUUAGAGAGUUCAACGUAAAUCAAGAAAAAAAAAUCAAAGUUUUUUUAAGGGAUGAUAAUUAUGGGUGAUUUGCAUUCUAGGCAACCUGGUGAGUUUAGACACGAUUGCAAGGUGGCUAAUUGACACCGACCACGUGUUGAAACCUUGUUUGAGACUUCAAAUUGAAAAGACUAAAAGUCUAUUUGUUGUUUUAUUAUAAGGGUAGUAUUAAGUGAGAACUCAUAUAGGUUUUUUUUUUGUGUUACAUUUUUGCAAUAAAAAAAACAAAGAGACUUUUACUAUUUUCUUUGUGAAGUCUCAAACAAGACUUCAAUACUAUAUUGGUGGAUACUAGCCAUCUUGCAAUCUCCUCUAAUCUCACCAGGUUGCCCAGACUGUGUAUCACCCAUCUAUAUCAUCCCUUCAACAGAAGCCUUAAAAAAAUCUUGAUUAGUACUGAACUUCUAACAUAUUCACUUGUAAGAGAGUAUGUGAAAAGUGUUUGAUCAGAAUUCAAGAACCCCUGCCCAUUUACCAAGUCUUUAAAAUAUUGAAUUCACUUAACAGUGUGUAUUAAUUUUCCUUAAGGUAAGAUAUUGACACUACUUUACUUGGAUACCCUAUUAGGGAUCGCAUUUAUGUGAUUCUAAUUAUUGUAUUUUCCCCAAAGAUAUUGAGUGGCGAUACAAUUCCUAAGGGACUUCCUUUUUCGCUAGACUCCAUGUGGCUUCUGUUGUUCACCUCACUCUACUCCACGAGGUAAUGUUUCAUAAGUCAAUUGCAUUGGGAAAUUGCGGAAGGGAUUAUAAGGUGGGGAGUCGAACCACACCAUCAAAGUAUUUUUAUUGAGGUUCUUCACAUGAGCGGCUAAAUUACGGUAAUUUUAUUAUCAUCAAUUAGUACAUUUACCACUAAUAUGAAUUUUAUUUGUCCUCUUCCGCACAUAUUCGUUUCUUUUCCUGCAAAUUGUAUUUUAUAUAAGCUUUUCUUUGUCCCAUUUGAGUAAUAUGCAGGUUAGAAAGAAAAUAUUUUGUCUCAUAGAUGUCUGAAUUUUAUGAAAUAAAGUUUAUACGGUUUUUAUUUCAAGUCAUCAAGUCAUGUAGCCACUCCUGUUUUGAUUGUGCCAUGUCAAAAUUUAGUCAUCUGACACUAUUUAAUUGUAGUUCUUUCCUAAGAAACACCACAUCCCUAGUCUAUAAUAUCAGCUAAUACACUCCCAUAGUUUUUAUUGAUGUGAGUACAUUGAAGAAAAUAUAGCCCUUGAAAGUAACUUGGUGCAGAAUGUUACAAGUUACUUUGGAGCCACCCUUGGAAGAGUCGCUAACCGGAUUGGUGGUUCUCAAUUUAUUCUGAAUGGAAUUCUUUAUAAGCUUAUUCCUAAUGAAGGCAAAAACAUGAUACAUGAUAGCCAUAAAGGAUUUAGCAAAAAUUUUUGGAAGGUGAGAAAGUACGUGCAAGAUUGUCCCCGUACUUACAUAACUCUAACCUACUUCGGUGCUGAUGGUAAAGAAGGUAAGUUUUCGUAUUCCAUAUAGGAUAUUACUCCUUUAAUUUCAAUUUACUUGUCUUAGUUUGACUAAACACAAUAUUCAAGAAAGAAAAAUAUUUGGAACUCAUGGGAUAUAAACAUGUCAAGAGAUUUUCAUGGCUAUAAAAGCACUCCAUUGAUGAUAAAAUACGAAAUUUGAAGUUAAAUUAUCUCCAAAAAUAGAAUGUGUCAACUAAUUUUUGGCGAACCGAUGAGGAAAUAUAUAGCAUCACGUAAAAUAAAAUAGAGGGAAUAAUUUCCUAUUAAAGAAUACUAAUGAAUUGACUAAACUCCAUUCUUUCUUAUAUAGGAUUUCUGGGUGGUAUUCUUGCCCAUGUUACCUAUUCUCAAAUAACAACUAAAUACAAAAGAUCACUCGAUCAGGUCCCUUGUUGCAUAUGAGAAAUAUUUCUUCGAGAGAAUGGAUUUUGCCAUGUAAUUCAUCCACUGAAAAAGCUAGGUUGUAUCCCAGGUAAAAAUAACUAUUAUAAUAUGGAAAAAACCUAGUGCAACGUUAUUGGCCAAGAGUACUGAUCCUUUGUAAUCGCGCACCAACCACUGUUGUUGUGGCAGUGGUUGCAGCUUUUACGGUUGUUCUUUUUGCAUUGCCUGAACCUUCUCAGUCUUCUCAUGGGACAUGGAUCUAUACUAGGUAUCCUAGUUUGUUAUAUCAUCAAAACAUUAGGAUAACUUCAGAAUAGCAAUCCAUCCAUCACUACUUUUCAAGGCUAGCGUGGCUCUAGGUCCUCGUCCUAAAAAAUGGACAACUUUAGCAUGUUGCUCUGUUUCAUAGUAACUUUUGGAAUCAAAAAAUAUAACUGCCUUUGAAUUUCUAAGGCCAUAAAAUCCAUCUUCCAAUUUGAACACUACAUAAGUUAAAUAACUAGUUCUUUUCAACGACAUUCGAGUGUCAACUUUUCCUCGGUUAUCUAGCCAACUGAUCCAAUUAAGUUUAGCCACUUCAGAAAAUCUAUAAAAAUAAUUUAGACUUUCUCACUAAUUAUAUUUACUAAAGUAAUUUCUUUCAAAAUUUUGAGUACAUCGAAAGGAAAAGAAAAAUAUAAAACAUGGGAUCUGGGUGAGACAAACAUUACCAAUAAUUUGGUGUACCAACCCAUAUAAUACAAAGUUCUCGUGUUGCGACCAUAAAACAUUUCUUCCCCGUCUUCUUAUCCAGCGAAGAACUCUAUUUGACAAAUCAAAUCACAUAGACAAAACAUUAAGUUUUAAAAACAAACCAAAAAGGCCAAAAAUGGCACUAGACCACUCUUAUUGUGUCCCACUAGGAUCACAAUGAACCAAUUGCACUCACUUAAAAUGACUGUGUGAGUAAUUAGUGGGCAGGGCCUGCAUGUGACCGGCCCAACCCUACCUGAUAUGAACAAGCUAAUAAAUGGAAUGUUCCACUCAUAAGGGUUGUUAGGUGGUGGCGAUCCGGGCCACCUUUCAGUAGCUAGUCAUGUCUAGUGAGCGUGGUUGGCCUGUUGUGAUCCCAAUCGGAAUCCUAAAGAGUGGUCUAGUGACUUUUUUUUAUCCAUUUUUUUAGUUUUUAAAUCCAAAUGUUUUGUAUUUGUUAUUUGAUCUAGCUAAUCAAAUAGAGUUUUUCACUAGAUAAGAAAAUGGGGAAGAAAUGUUUUGUGGUCGCAGCACGAGAACUUGGUAUUAUAUGGGAUGGUACAUCAGAGAAUUGGGAAUGGUUGUCUUACCCGGACUCUGUGUUUUAUAUUUUUGUGGUUCCUUUCUAUGCACUCUAAAUUUAGAAACAAAUUACUUUUUUAAAUACAAUUACUAAGAAAGUGUAAAUUUUCUUGUAGAUUAUGUGAACUGGCUAAACUUAAUUUGAUUUGUUGGCUUGAUAACUGAGGCAACAUUGAAACCUGAAUGUUGUUGAAAAGAACCUAUUGUUUUUCUUAUCUAGUGUUCAAAUUAGAAGAUGGAUUUUGUGGUCUAAGAAAUUCUAAGGCAGUUGUUAGAUUUGUUUAUUCCGAGAGUGACCAUGAACCAGAGCAACGAGCAUAAGUUAUCUAUGUUUUUUUAGAAUGAGGACCUAGAGUGAUGCUAACCUUGAAAAGAGGUGAUGGGUGGACUGAAUUAAAAAUGGGAAACUUUUUCAAUGAUAUAGGACAAGAUGGAGAUAAUGAAGUGGGAUUGAUGGAGAUUAGGCAUCUCGAUUGGAAACGUAGCAUCAUUUUUCAGGGAAUUGAAUUUCGUCAGAAUGAAGAAGAGAAGGACCCUCCUCUUACUAUGCUUUUUGUUUUGGUCACAUUUGGAUUGAUGCAAAAGGUUUACCAUUGUAGUGGAGUUAUAGUGGCUAACCUCUCUGUUAUCAUAGAUGAACCAGCCUCUAGUGUUCUCAGAAAAUUUACCUAAUAAAUGAGUAUAAUGAAAGGCUGUAACACCCCAGAAAUUUUUUGAGUUAAGACUCGAACCGUUUUUUGUAGUGAGUGAGA